UCCCAUCUGUCCCUCUCUCUCCCUCGCGUACAUCGGACGGCAGACGACCAUGGAAGGCCGUCGCCACUGCUGCUCUGCUCUCGGCCGCGACCAGCGGCGCUUGGCCUUCGGCCGCGCCGCCCCGCUCAGCCGCCUCCCUUCUCCCUCGCGUUACCGGCAGCAGCGACCAAGGAGGGGCCGCUGCCUUGGCUUGCUAUGGCGGCGCACAAGUAGCCCCAAGGGGAACCCUUCCCUCUCUUCGACACUCACACUCAACAAAGCAAACAAAAGGAAAAAUUCUCAGAUUUGUAAAGAUUUGAUUUUUGGUGCAUUGGUCAAGGUAUUUCCUUAAUAGAAACAGUUGGGUAUUUGAAUUUUGUAUGUUAAUCUUUUGUUAUAACUGUUGGUGAUGUUUCCGUAAUAAGGAACAAAUAGAAGGAAAUAGAUGCUGUAUUAAAAUGAAAAUGCAUAGAUUUACAGAGAUAAUUGGGGUUACCAGCUGGAGUUCUGCAAUGAAAAGAGCAUAUUGAGUUUUGUGUGAAAGGAAUCGAGCCGAGAGCAAUUUUUGCUGGAUUCAGUCCACCAUUUUUCGGAAAGUGAAGAAAUAAACAUGAUGAAACAUAAUGAUACUUGACUGAGAAAUAGAAAGAGUUACUAUGUUGAUUGCUUCCUACUGCAGCUUGAGGAAGUGAUUCUGGCGGUGAAAUAGUGUAAGAAAAGUUGGGGUAAUUUAUGAAGGUGGAACGAUUGACGUGGUUGUAACAAAGCCAAAGCUUUUGCUUUUGGGAAUAGAAUAUCAAAUUUGUGAAAAUAUCAAGCAUAGUUAGACUUGGAGAGGAAGGAAAAUAUUUCAGUUUCUCACACUCAC
rnacentral:lncRNA from 1 species